GCGAUGAGCCUUAACAGGUAUGGACAUCCUUUGAAACCCCUAGAGAUAGGGUUUCUCCUUCGGGAGCAGAGUGACAGGUGGUGCAUGGUUGUCGUCAGCUCGUGUCGUGAGAUGUUGGGUUAAGUCCCGCAACGAGCGCAACCCUUGAUCUUAGUUGCCAUCAUUAAGUUGGGCACUCUAAGGUGACUGCCGGUGACAAACCGGAGGAAGGUGGGGAUGACGUCAAAUCAUCAUGCCCCUUAUGACCUGGGCUACACACGUGCUACAAUGGACGGUACAAAGAGCUGCAAGACCGCGAGGUGGAGCUAAUCUCAUAAAACCGUUCUCAGUUCGGAUUGUAGGCUGCAACUCGCCUACAUGAAGCUGGAAUCGCUAGUAAUCGCGGAUCAGCAUGCCGCGGUGAAUACGUUCCCGGGCCUUGUACACACCGCCCGUCACACCACGAGAGUUUGUAACACCCGAAGUCGGUGGGGUAACCUUAUGGAGCCAGCCGCCUAAGGUGACG
rnacentral:rRNA from 1 species